rnacentral:rRNA from 1 species
AGAGAGAGACAUGCGCGCAUAUCAAUAAGCGGAGGAAAAGAAACUAACAAGGAUUCCCUUAGUAACGGCGAGUGAAGCGGGAAGAGCUCAAAUUUGAAAUCUUCAAGGUUCUACCUUGACGAAUUGUAGUUUAUAGAAGUGUUUUCUGUUAGUGGAGUGGCAAAAGUUCUUUGGAAUAGGACAUCAUAGAGGGUGAGAAUCCCGUAUUUGGUCAUUCCUCCUAGCGUUGUGAUACACUUUCAACGAGUCGGAUUGUUUGGGAAUGCAGUCCAAAAUGGGUGGUAAAUUUCAUCUAAAGCUAAAUAUUGGCGAGAGACCGAUAGCGAACAAGUACCGUGAGGGAAAGAUGAAAAGAACUUUGAAAAGAGAGUUAAACAGUACGUGAAAUUGUCAAAAGGGAAGCGUUUGACACCAGUGUUGUUUUUCCGAGAAUCAAUUACGAAUGUUUUGUCUUUGAGGAGUUAUGACUUCAUCGGCUUGCUUCUUUCUUUACGAAACUUUCUUAAUGCACUUUUCGGUUAACAAGUCAACAUCAAUUUCUUUUGUUGUAAAAGGGUAUGAGGAAGGUGGCUUUCUUUUCGGAGAAAGUGUUUAUAGCCUUGUACCUCUGCAAUCGGAGAGAUUGAGGUCUGCAGCGUAGAUCCUUCGGGGUUAGAUACAUUUGUGCUAAGUUAUAGCUUUUCAUAGACAACUUGUUGACUAUGUUUAGUCUUGUAGCUUACUCGCUUAUGCUAUUUUACCUACGCUUAGGAUGUUGAUCUGUAGUGCGUGCGC